rnacentral:tRNA from 1 species
GCCCUCUUAGCUUAGUGGUAGAGCAAUGGUUUCGUAAACCAUAGACACCGGUUCAAUCCCGGUAGAGGGCU